rnacentral:rRNA from 1 species
UACGGAGGGUGCGAGCGUUGUUCGGAAUCAUUGGGCGUAAAGCGCACGUAGGCGGCUUAGUAAGUCGGAUGUGAAAUCCCGGGGCUCAACCUUGGAACUGCAUUGGAAACUGGCUGGCUAGAGUAUGAGAGAGGGAAGUGGAAUUCCUGGUGUAGCGGUGAAAUGCGUAGAUAUCAGGAGGAACAUCAGUGGCGAAGGCGGCUUCCUGGUCCAAUACUGACGCUGAGGUGCGAAAGCGUGGGGAGCAAACAGG